UACGUAGGGACCGAGCGUUGUCCGGAAUCAUUGGGCGUAAAGAGCGUGUAGGCGGCCACUUAAGUCCUGCGUGAAAUCUUGCGGCUCAACCGCAAGCGGUCGUGGGAAACUGGGUGGCUAGAGUGCGGGAGAGGAGAGUGGAAUUCCUGGUGUAGCGGUGGAAUGCGCAGAUAUCAGGAGGAACACCGGUGGCGAAGGCGGUUCUCUGGGCCUUACCUGACGCUGAGGAGCGAAAGCGUGGGGAGCAAACAGG
rnacentral:rRNA from 1 species